GGAGGGUGCAAGCGUUGUUCGGAAUUAUUGGGCGUAAAGAGCGUGUAGGCGGUCCGGUAAGUCAGAUGUGAAAGCCCUGGGCUCAACCCAGGAAGUGCAUUUGAAACUACCAGACUUGAGUACGGGAGAGGAGGGGGGAAUUCCCGGUGUAGAGGUGAAAUUCGUAGAUAUCGGGAGGAAUACCAGUGGCGAAGGCGCCUCUCUGGACCGAUACUGACGCUGAGACGCGAAAGCGUGGGGAGCAAACAGGAUUAGAUACCCUGGUAGUCCACGCCGUAAACGAUGAGCACUAGGUGUAGCGGGUAUUGACCCCCCUGCUGUGCCGUAGCUAACGCAUUAAGUGCUCCGCCUGGGGACUACGGUCGCAAGACUA
rnacentral:rRNA from 1 species